GAUGAACGCUGGCGGCGUGCUUAACACAUGCCAGUCGAACGGGAAAUCUUUCAUUGAGACUUCGGUGGAUUUGAUUUAUUUCUAGUGGCGGACGGGUGAGUAACGCGUGGGUAACCUGCCUUAUACAGGGGGAUAACAGUCAGAAAUGGCUGCUAAUACCGCAUAAGCGCACAGAGCUGCAUGGCUCAGUGUGAAAAACUCCGGUGGUAUAAGAUGGACCCGCGUUGGAUUAGCUAGUUGGUGGGGUAACGGCCCACCAAGGCGACGAUCCAUAGCCGGCGUGAGAGGGUGACCGGCCACAUUGAGACUGAGACACGGCCCAGACUCCUACGGGAGGCAGCAGUGGGGAAUAGUGCACAAUGGGGGGAACCCUGAUGCAGCGACGCCGCGUGAAGGAAGAAGUAUCUCGGUAUGUAAACUGCUAUCAGCAGGGAAGAUAGUGACGGUACCUGACUAAGAAGCCCCGGCUAACUACGUG
rnacentral:rRNA from 1 species